UCAGAAGGCUGGUACACUGAAAGUGUUCAGAACCAAAAAGGUAAUGCAUAUUACAAUAAUUGCAAUUAAUUAAAUACAUACUGCAUGAUGAUAUAAAUUCUCUCUACGUAUACGUAGCUGUAAACACAGUCAACAGAAUGAAGACAUUAGACAUUGAUUGAUGUGUUAGUAAAGGCUUUCUAUAGCCAUACAUAGACGUGUGUGUUGUUAAUAUUAACAAUGAGAAAGCUUGCUAUACUAUAAUACGUAAUUGUCUGCUUAAAACACAAAUUUUAGAAUGUUAAUUGUCUUUAAAACAAAUGAUGAUGACUGUCAUUGUUCUAUUUAUAUUUUUAAAUCUGGUUUACUUAAUUAAUUAAUUUAAGUUGAAUUGUUGUUUGCGCAUACAGUUUGGCAGCUGUAUGUUGAACAUUACUUGUAAUUUAGGAAUAAUAAAGAGAAUGUACCGACUUAUAAAAAUAUUCAUAUACAAUUAGUUUUUAUAAAUUACACAGUGUGACCUGUAAAGUUAUAUAUCCAGUAGGUUUUAGCCUUGCAAUAGAUAAUAUGUAGAAAAUUUAGAAAUUGUAAUUAAUAUUAACAAAAUAAUUAUACUACCGUUGAUUAAUGCUCUUAUACACUCUAUAGAUACGGAUACCGUUGUAAAUGAAAUGAAACAAGACAUUGUCUAUAUCAAACAAACAGUUGUAAAGAUCCUUCAGAGAUUGGAAGGAAUCGGUGAAAUCGGGCAAUCAUAUCACCUUGCAACGAUAUGGCAGUGAAAGUCGGCCAUCAAGUCACUGGAUUGGUUUCAAGGAUGACGAUGUAGCAGUCAAAGCAGUGAUGGAAAGUCAGAAUGAAGCAACAGUUGCAAAAUUUGGCUGCAUGGAUGUGGCAGACAAAAGUUGGCAGAGGAUCUUAUCAGAAAACAGUGACAUUUACUGGUAGCAAAAUUGGAUGCAGAUGAUGUUGCCGAUCAUUUAUACCAACGAGAGAUAAUAUCAUCUGGGUAGGAAAUGGUUGGAAGUCCAGAAUAUGUUGAUGACUCGUUACUACUGUCUGACCUGCACAGUGUGGUUCAGUCAACUGUCGGCAGUAACAACAAUUCAAACCGAUAGUGGACAUGAUUAGGGAGAUACUUGAUUGUUUGAGCGACAAGCAUGAGUCUUAGCAUGGUUAUUGAUAUCAAUUAGUGUUGGAAAAUGUUAGAUUGACAAUGUCUUUGUUGUUACAGAAUAGGAAAUUUUAUAGAUUAGUGCAAACACUGUGGCUUGUUUGCAGUCACUGGUAACUGAUUUUUAUUGUUUUUAUAGACAAGUCGAUCUCAUUUAUUUGUAUGUUUUAGAAUUUGUCGUGCAGAUUUGUUAUUAUGUGUGCAUGAGUUAGUCAUCAGCGUCAUGUCUUCUUAUGAUGAAAGAUAAGCAGACGAUAUUCAC